UACAAUGCAAGUCGAGCGAGCUUGCCUAUAGAAAGUUCUUCGGAAUGGGAAAUAGAUACAAAGCUAGCCGCGGAUGGGGGUGAGUAACGCGUGGGGUAACCCUGCCCUUAAGUCUGGGGAUCCAUUUGGAAAACAGAUGCUAAUACCGAUAAAAGCUACUUUCGCAUGAAAGAAGUUUAAAAGGCGGCGUAAAGCUGUCGCUAAAAGGGAUGGGACCUGCGAUGCAUUAGCUAGUUGGUAAGGUAACGGGCUUACCAAGGCGAUGAUGCAUAGCCCGAGUUGAGAGACUGAUCGGGCCACAUUGGGGACUGAGACACGGGCCCAAACUCCUACGGGAGGCAGCAGUAGGGAAUCUUCCACAAUGGACGAAAGUCUGAUGGAGCAAACGCCGCGUGAGUGAAGAAGGUUUUCGGAUCGUAAAGCUCUGUUGUUGGUGAAGAAGGAUAGAGGUAGUAACUGGCCCUUUAUUUGACGGUAAUCAACCAGAAAGUCACGGGCUAACUACGUGCCAGCAGCCGCGGUAAAU
rnacentral:rRNA from 1 species